UCCAAGUGAUCCGGAAAAGUUAACACGCCUGGGAGGGGUUGAAAUCCUAACGGGGAACAUUAGCACCUACACUGAAUUGGGGUGAAGGUAGCGGUGAGGAGGGGCUACAGGAGAUCAACCGUAAAAAAGCAGGUCACUACUCUCUUUCUUCUCGGCUGCCUAGAAUAUCUCCAAUUACAGAAGGCCUCAUCUGAAGGAAAGGGGCUUUGGGGAUCACGGACAGGGAAACUGAGGCCCAAAGAGAAAGUAACUUGCCUAGGGUGACCGGGCAGAGCGCCGCCGCGGCCUCGAAGCAAACAGCAAUGCUGAUGUCGUCAAGGAUAGGGAUUAAGGAACUGCCAAGACCUCAGCCCACUGGGGGGUGGGGGGUGGGGUAGAUGACGCUGUGACGUCAAGACCCUGACUCGCCGUCAGAGGGGUCCCUUCUGCUCAAGGAGCCUGCCACCCGGCCACAAGCACUGAAGCUCGGCCCUCCUCGGGAGAAAACUGCCCCUCAACCCUCCAAGGCCACGGGAGGGGCUCCAGGGACUCCAUGACGCCACUCACACUUACUGUCACCCUAGGAAGAUGGAAGCUGGUGAAAACCGAAACUAGCCACAUCUCUGCCUGCCCAAGGCAAAAGAACCCGCAGGCAAAUCAUCAUGAUGGGAACCAAAACUACCCCUUCAAGCAACGACGAUUGCCCUGAGCCAGCAAGACCCCACGUGACCUCAAGACAACAAUGACCUGACCUUCGCUUUCCACCUGCAGUACUCUCUGACCUCUGUCCCACAUUUUCCUUACAAAACCCAGGAGUAUUUUCGGCACUUUGGAGAUUGUAUCUCAGAGGGUCCACUGUCUUCCCGGUGUUGCCCUUCCCUGAAAUAAAUUCCUUCCUUGUUC